rnacentral:rRNA from 1 species
ACGGGAGGCAGCAGUGGGGAAUAUUGUACAAUGGGCGCAAGCCUGAUGUAGCGAUGCCGCGUGAGGGAAGAAGGUUUUCGGAUUGUAAACCUCUGUCAACAGGGACGAAAAUGACGGUACCUGUGAAGGAAGCUCCGGCUAACUACGUGCCAGCAGCCGCGGUAAUACGUAGGGAGCAAGCGUUAUCCGGAAUUACUGGGUGUAAAGGGAGUGUAGGCGGGACUGUAAGUCAGAUGUGAAAUAUGCCGGCUCAACUGGCAGACUGCAUUUGAAACUGCGGUUCUUGAGUGAAGUAGAGGUAAGCGGAACUCCUAGUGUAGCGGUGAAAUGCGUAGAUAUUAGGAGGAACAUCAGUGGCGAAGGCGGCUUACUGGGCUUUAACUGACGCUGAGGCUCGAAAGCGUGGGGAGCAAACAGGAUUAGAUACCCUGGUA